rnacentral:lncRNA from 1 species
AUCCGCCACAAAUACAGGGAAUCCACUGUUCACACGGACAGAGUCUCCCUUGUAUUUGCACGGCGUCGCACAAGUACAAUAUACAACCACAACUGUAUAAACAUCUACAUACAUAAACCACAUCACAGAUUCCACUUAUUUCAUCAUAGAUAAUAGUAAUUUCAUAUCUAUUAGUCUAAAAUGUUUUCUACUCGAAAACUCAUUUUGAAACACUAAGAGUCAUGAAACCAAUAAAAACCUUUUCAAAACCGUUUUCCGACACGAAAACCUUUUUCUUUAAAACACGCUACCACGAGGGGUAGAAAACUAUUUUCAUCUCAUGAAAACCACCAGUUCUUUAUUACAUUCACAAAAUCAUACUUAUCCAAUUUACGUGAAACCAACUGAACCAUAAAUACUAAGUCAAUUAUUUUACGA